rnacentral:rRNA from 1 species
GAAGCAGCCACCCUUUAAAGAAAGCGUAAUAGCUCACUAGUCGAGUCGGCCUGCGCGGAAGAUGUAACGGGGCUAAAACUAUGUGCCGAAGCUGCGGAUUUGACAUUAGUCAAGUGGUAGGGGAGCGUUCUGUAAGCCGAUGAAGGUGUAUUGAGAAGUAUGCUGGAGGUAUCAGAAGUGCGAAUGCUGACGUGAGUAACGACAAAACGGGUGAAAAACCCGUUCGCCGAAAGACCAAGGGUUCCAGUCCAACGUUAANNNNUCGGGGCUGGGUGAGUCGACCCCUAAGGCGAGGCCGAAAGGCGUAGUCGAUGGGAAAAUGGUUAAUAUUCCAUUACUUCUGUGUAAUGCGAUGAGAGGACGGAGAAGGCUAAAUCAGCCUGGCGUUGGUUGUCCAGGUGAAAGGAUGUAGGCAUGUAUCUUAGGCAAAUCCGGGGUACUCUAUGCUGAGAUCUGAUAGCAAGCUGUACUUGUACAGCGAAGUGGUUGAUGCCAUGCUUCCAGGAAAAGUCUCUAAGCUUCAGUUACACAGGAAUCGUACCCGAAACCGACACAGGUGGUCAGGUCGAGUAGACCAAGGCGCUUGAGAGAACUCUGCUGAAGGAACUAGGCAAAAUGGUACCGUAACUUCGGGAGAAGGUACGCUGUUGUUGGUGAUGGAACUCGCUUCCUGAGCUGACGACAGCCGCAGAAACCAGGCCGCUGCAACUGUUUAUUAAAAACAUAGCACUCUGCAAACACGAAAGUGGACGUAUAGGGUGUGAUGCCUGCCCGGUGCUGGAAGGUUAAUUGAUGGGGUUAGCGUAAGCGAAGCUCUUGAUCGAAGCCCCAGUAAACGGCGGCCGUAACUAUAACGGUCCUAAGGUAGCGAAAUUCCUUGUCGGGUAAGUUCCGACCUGCACGAAUGGCAUAAUGAUGGCGGCGCUGUCUCCAGCAGAGGCUCAGUGAAAUCGAAAUCGCUGUGAAGAUGCAGUGUACCCGCGGCUAGACGGAAAGACCCCGUGAACCUUUACUGCAGCUUGACACUGAACUUUGACCUUACUUGUGUAGGAUAGGUGGGAGGCUUUGAAGCUGGAACGCUAGUUCCAGUGGAGCCGUCCUUGAAAUACCACCCUGGUAAUGUUGAGGUUCUAACUCUGUCCCGUGAUCCGGGACGAGGACCGUGUCUGGUGGGUAGUUUGACUGGGGCGGUCUCCUCCUAAAGAGUAACGGAGGAGUACGAAGGUGCGCUCAGCGUGGUCGGAAAUCACGCGUAGAGUAUAAAGGCAAAAGCGCGCUUAACUGCGAGACCCACAAGUCGAGCAGGUACGAAAG